AUUGAACGCUGGCGGCAGGCCUAACACAUGCAAGUCGAACGAGUGGCGGACGGGUGAGUAAUGCUUGGGAAUCUGGCUUAUGGAGGGGGAUCACGACGGGAAACUGUCGCUAAUACCGCGUACCAUAGGAUGAGCCCAAGUGGGAUUAGGUAGUUGGUGGGGUAAAGGCAGACCAAGACGACGAUCUCUAGCUGGUCUGAGAGGAUGACCAGCCACACUGGAACUGAGAGACGGCCCAGACUCCUACGGGAGGCAGCAGUGGGGAAUAUUGGGCAAUGGGGGCAAGCCUGACGCAGCCAUGCCGCGUGAAUGAAGAAGGCCUUCGGGUUGUAAAGUUCUUUCAGUAUGGAGGCGUUAAAUACAGAAGAAGCACCGGCUAACUCCGUGCCAGCAGCCGCGGUAAUAC
rnacentral:rRNA from 1 species